rnacentral:rRNA from 1 species
UACGUAGGGGGCUAGCGUUGUCCGGAAUCAUUGGGCGUAAAGAGCGUGUAGGCGGUCCGGUAAGUCCGCUGUGAAAGUCCGGGGCUCAACCCCGGAUCUGCGGUGGGUACGGGCAGACUUGAGUGCAGUAGGGGAGACUGGAAUUCCUGGUGUAGCGGUGGAAUGCGCAGAUAUCAGGAGGAACACCGGUGGCGAAGGCGGGUCUCUGGGCAGUAACUGACGCUGAGGAGCGAAAGCGUGGGGAGCGAACAGG